rnacentral:rRNA from 1 species
UACGUAGGGGGCAAGCGUUGUCCGGAAUUAUUGGGCGUAAAGAGCGCGUAGGCGGUCCGGUAAGUCGGCUGUGAAAGUCAAGGGCUCAACCCUUGAAAGCCGGCCGAUACUGUCGGACUAGAGUCCGGAAGAGGCGAGUGGAAUUCCCGGUGUAGCGGUGAAAUGCGCAGAUAUCGGGAAGAACACCCGUGGCGAAGGCGGCUCUCUGGGACGGUACUGACGCUGAGACGCGAAAGCGUGGGGAGCGAACAGG